GAGGUAGAGGCGCGACAUUCAUCAGUAUCCGUCGAGUUGUGGGCAAUUGCCGUCGGAGAAAGGGUCUGCCGCCGAAGCGAUAUGUUCCGCCCGGGAUAUGUCGGCUGGGCCGUCGGGGAAUACCCGCCGGACUGUCACAAUGAACUUGUGAAGCGCUAUCGU
rnacentral:ncRNA from 1 species